rnacentral:rRNA from 1 species
CCCUUAGAUGUUCUGGGCUGCACGCGCGCUACACUGAAGCUAUCAACACGUUUUCCCUCCCUGAGAAGGGCGGGUAACCUUUUGAAUCAGCUUCGUGGUAGGGAUCGGGGCUUGCAAUUGUUCACCGUGAACCAGGAAUUCCUAGUAGACGCGAGUCAUAAGCUCGCAUCGAUUAAGUCCCUGCCCUUUGUACACACCGCCCGUCGCUACUACCGAUUGAACGUUUUAGUGAGGCAUUUGGACCGACGCAUCUCAGUUUAACCGCUGGUUUGUGUUGGAAAGACUUCCAAACUUGAGCGUUUAGAGGAAGUAAAAGUCGUAACA